rnacentral:rRNA from 1 species
GGUUGGCUCAGAAGCAGCCAUCCUUUAAAGAGUGCGUAACAGCUCACUAGUCGAGUGACCCUGCGCCGAAAAUGUACCGGGGCUAAGCCUGAUACCGAAACUGCGGAUUGUAGGAAACUAUAGUGGUAGGGGAGCGUUGUAUACGAGCAGAAGCCGUACCGUGAGGAGCGGUGGAUUGUAUAGAAGUGAGAAUGCCGGUGUGAGUAGCGAGAUGUAGGUGAGAAUCCUACACACCGAAAGCCCAAGGAUUCCAGGGGAAGGUUCGUCCGCCCUGGGUAAGUCGGGACCUAACGCGAGGCCGAAAGGCGUAGUGGAUGGAAAGCAGGCGAAAGAUUCCUGCACCCGUAUAUGGAGCGAAGGAGUGACGGAGACGGAUAGUGUGACCCUCUUAAUGGAUUGAGGGCGAAGCGAAGCGGCUGGUUACCAGGCAAAUCCGGUAACCAAAAGGCUAGAGCGUGACAGGUAAGCGAAAUCUUCGGAAAGUAGCGAAGCACAUGAUGACGGCUUCCAGGAAAAGCUUCUGGCAAUGCAUAUGCGGCCCGUACCAAAACCGACACAGGUGGGCAGGGAGAGAAUCCCGAGGUGAGCGAGAGAACUGUUGCCAAGGAACUCGGCAAAAUGACUCCGUAAGUUAGCGAGAAGGAGUGCUUAAGCAAUUAAGCCGCAGUGAAGAGGCCCAAGCGACUGUUUAACUAAAACACAGCUCUCUGCGAAGUCGCAAGACGAAGUAUAGGGGGUGACACCUGCCCGGUGCUGGAAGGUUAAGAGGAUCUGUUAAGAGCGAUCUGAAGCAGUGAUCCGAAGCCCCAGUGAACGGCGGCCGUAACUAUAACGGUCCUAAGGUAGCGAAAUUCCUUGUCAGGUAAGUUCUGACCCGCACGAAAGGUGUAACGAUUUGGGCGCUGUCUCGGCAGCAGACUCGGUGAAAUCUUAGUACCUGUGAAAAUGCAGGUUACCCGCAACUAGACGGAAAGACCCCAUGGAGCUUUACUGCAGCCUGAUAUUGAAUUCUGGUCAUACAUGUACAGGAUAGGUGGGAGACAAAGAGACGUGCACGCCAGUGUACGAGGAGUCGCCGUUGGGAUACCACUCUUGUGUGACCGGGGUUCUAACCUGGUAUCGAGAACAGGUACGGGGAGAGUGUCAGGUGGGCAGUUUGACUGGGGCGGUCGCCUCCCAAAGAGUAACGGAGGCGCCCAAAGGUACGCUCAGAUUGGAUGGAAACCAAUCGUCGAGUGCAAUUGCAGAAGCGUGCUUGACUGUGAGACAGACAAGUCGAACAGGGACGAAAGUCGGGAAUAGUGAUCCGGCGGUGCCGAAUGGAAGGGCCGUCGCUCAACGGAUAAAAGCUACCCUGGGGAUAACAGGCUGAUCUCGCCCAAGAGUUCACAUCGACGGCGAGGUUUGGCACCUCGAUGUCGGCUCAUCGCAUCCUGGAGCUGGAUUCGGUUCCAAGGGUUGGGCUGUCCGCCCAUUAAAGCGGUACGCGAGCUGGGUUCAGAACGUCGUGAGACAGUUCGGUCCCUAUCUGUUGUGGGCGAAGGAGAUCUGCGGAGAGCUGUCCUCAGUACGAGAGGACCGGGAUGGACCUACCGCUGGUGCACCGGUUGUUCCGCCAGGGGCAUAGCCGGGUAGCUAAGUAGGGAAAGGAUAAGCGCUGAAAGCAUCUAAGCACGAAGCCUACUCCAAGAUGAGAUCUCCCAUUCGCAAGAAGUAAGACCCCUUAAAGACGAUAAGGUAGAUAGGCCAGGGAUGGAAGUGCAGUGAUGUACGGAGUUGACUGGUACUAAUCGGUCGAGGACUUAAUC